UACAGAGGCCCCGAGCGUUAAUCGGAAUCACUGGGCUUAAAGGGUGCGUAGGCGGGCGGUUAAGUGUCUUGUGAAAGCCCUCGGCUCAACCGGGGAACUGCAGGGCAUACUGAUCGUCUUGAGGAAGGUAGAGGCUGGUAGAACGAUAGGUGGAGCGGUGGAAUGCGUAGAGAUCUAUCGGAAUGCCGAAGGUGAAGACAGCCAGCUGGGCCUUUCCUGACGCUGAGGCACGAAAGCGUGGGGAGCAAACCGG
rnacentral:misc_RNA from 1 species